ACAGCAGCCGCCGCGGUAAUACGAAGGGUGCAAGCGUUAAUCGGAAUUACUGGGCGUAAAGCGUGCGUAGGCGGUGAGUUAAGUCUGCUGUGAAAUCCCCGGGCUCAACCUGGGAAUGGCAGUGGACACUGGCUCGCUAGAGUGUGUCAGAGGAUGGUGGAAUUUCCGGUGUAGCAGUGAAAUGCGUAGAGAUCGGAAGGAACAUCUGUGGCGAAGGCGACUAUCUGGGCCAACACUGACACUGGGGCACGAAAGCGUGGGGAGCAAACAGGAUUAGAUACCCCCGUAGUCCCUGUCUCUUAUAC
rnacentral:rRNA from 1 species